UCGAGCGACGAAAACUUCCUCUUUCAUCAAACGUGCAUUGACCGGUUCGGACGUCAUCUCGUCUUUACUGCUGCCGAAAUGAGAGCUAAGUGGCGUAAGAAGCGUAUGCGGAGGUUGAAGCGUAAGCGCAGGAAGAUGCGUGCGAGGUCCAAGUAAACUCCCCCAGCCGAAACGCAUUCGUUUCAGCUGCGCGACGGGUCUCAUCAUCGGGAGACGUCGAAAUCGUCGGUUGCAUUUAGCGCACUCCCAGCAUUGUUCGUGGAUACCGUCAGUGAAACAUUUAGUUGGUCUGCGGGGCGCACCUAUAAUGUGCAGAGUUGGUUCAGCUGAAAGGAUAGUUUGAACGGAUGUUGCAAAAUAUACCGAACGAAUCCAAACAAUAAACCCUCUCGGGAGUAAACAUGUGCUUUCCGGCGUAACGACGGUUCCGGAUGUACAUUUCAAA